GGAUAUUGAAGAGGUACUGCCCUACCAUCCUUCAAGUUUUUUUCUUCCUUCAAGCAAAGAAAAUGUAAGGUAAGUUGCAGUUCUUUAAUUUUCUAAAACCUCUAUGUAAAUGCUAACAAUUUAAAAAUGACUUUUUUUCCACUUACAAUAUAAACAAAUUUAUUUAUUUAAUGUAAGUUAUUGUAUUAAUAAACCUAAAUAGAUGUUGUUUCAAUGGCCUUCUUUUUUCAACAUAUGGAGUGUAUUGCACAUAAAAUAUUAUUUCAUAUUUGACAGGAAAAUGAGACCCAGAAGAGUUUGUCCUGAAAAGGAAGCUUUGCACUUCAUUGCUUCUGGGCAAGAUAAAGGCUUGUUUCAGAAAAAAAUCAUCAAUCAGGAGAAAGGUUAUGGAGUGUUUGCCACUAAAAACAUUGAGCAAGGAGAAUUCCUGCUGGAGUAUGUUGGAAGACACAUCACUGGAUCUGAAGGAGAGGCACUGAGCUGACGAUGCAGCAUUUCUGUACUUCUACUGUUUUCAGGGACAAUCUUUCUGUGUCGAUGGCAGUAAAGACAAGCAAGACUUGGAAGAUUCAUAAAUGAUGAUCACAUCAAGCCAAACAGCAACAUUAAAAUAAUAUUGGAUGAGCAGAAAAGGCCGCAUCUGUGUGCAUUUUCAAAGUCAAAUAUCAGUGCAGGAGAAGAAAUUGUGUAUGACUGCAGAGACCCUGACUGCCCAUGGAGACAGAAAACCAUUACCUCCUCAUGCAGGGAGCUCCAGGAAAAGGCGGUAAAUCAAAGACCGAAUCCCGCUGGAAGAGUUCAUUAGAAAACCUUGAAUCUCAGCCUGGCGUUACGAAAAUUGGGCAACUUGUUUUUAACAGCAACAAAGGCUGCAAAUGGAUGCAAUGCUGCUGAAAUUUUCCCAGGAGGGCUACGAAGUUGCAGUGAAAAGAGUUGCAAAGCAUAUUUCUGAAAAUGAGAUUAAAAUGGCACAUGUCCUAUGUUCAGAAAAGUUAAAACCAGAACAUCUUUUACAACCAAUUGCAGUGUUGGAAGAUAGUUACUUUGCCUAUUUUGUCUCCCCUCUUUGCGAAUACAGUCUGGUGGAGGUAAUUGAAAACAAGAACUUUCGUGAGAGAGAAAGUUUGACUGAGGCUCGAAGACUGGGGAUCUGCCAGGAGCUACUGCAAGGACUACAUUAAGUCCAUUCACGCGGGAUUUUGCACAGAGACCUGAAGCCUGAAAACAUUUUGUUUGAUAUCAGCAACAAACUGUUUAUCGCAGAUUUUGGAGCAAACAGAAAACUGGAUUUGGCACAGCCAACGUUGCUGUCUCAAAUGGCUGGAUCUUUUUCUUGGUCAAGUUAUGAGGAUGUUGGAGGCAUACAAUACAAGUACAAGAAAGAGUCAGAUAUCCAGGAAAUAGAACCACAGAUCUCCCUUUCCCUUGAUAUGUCAGAGGAAGAAGAUGAUGAUGAUGAUGAACCAACAGAAGUAGAUGAUGAAGUAACCAAGAAAGUCAUCAGAAAAAAGCAGUUAAGACUGGGAUGAAAAAGGAUGAAAAUGUCCUUGAAUGCAGUUUGAAGGGUAUCCAAGUGAAAAUGUCCUCAAACACCGCACACAAACAUGUCUACGACAAGAAAAAUUACUGCUUCUAUUGUCAGAAGCCUUUCGGAAAAGUUUCAAGACACCUGAUGCGAAAACAUCAAGAUGAAGUUGACGUUGCAAAGGCACUUGCACACAAGCAAGGAUCCACAAUGCGCAGCCUUCUUCUGAGCAAAAUAUGGAAUGAGGGAAACUACCGAAAUAACUGUUCAGGCCUAUCCUCUGGUUAAGGACAAAUAGUACCAAAAAAACAAACAACCUACAUGUCAUCAGCAACAGAUCAUAUACCAUGCCAGUUUUGUUUGGCUAUGUGGGGGGGGGGGGGGCUCUUUUUGUGAGCUUAUGAGUUUUUUUUCUGUUAUAAACUGUCUUGACAGUUUAUUAUGUAAAAAACCAUUAGUUGUGCUUUUUACUGUUUUAUAUUUGUGACUGUAGGCAGGUGUUAUGUGACAGCUAUUGCUAUUACAAGCAGUUAGGUAGAAUACAAAACAUUAGUGAAAUGUAAUGCUUUUCUUUUUCCUUAAAAAAAUACUUAUUCCAUCUGCUUCUAAAUAGCAUUUAAAUAGAUAAAGUUUGAAAAUGGUUGGAAUAUGCUCUGAAAUUGAACCUUAGUAUAUUAUGACAAAAAUAUUGAAUCCAGUUAUGUUUGAAGAUACUGAUUCUGUAAGUAACCCAUCAAAUAUACCAUCUCAUCUCAAACUAUGUUGAAGUUUACAUUUUUGAUUUCCCUCAAAAAACACCUCAGACUAAUGUCAAUCAGCCAACUUGCAUUUACAGUCGAGAAAGGUUAUAAAAACACCAUCUUAGGACUUUGUAAUGUCCAGGAUUAUUGAAUUGAACAUGACUCAUCUCUUAGUUGAAUCAUUGAUCAGGCAUAUAUCCUCUUCUGUUCUUACACACACAUGCAGGAGUGUGAACAUCGCUCCAUGCUAUCUAAGAGGGAGUCUAUGUCAUUCUAUGCCAUCAAAGAGGGGACUCUUAUCAUUCAGUACCAUCCAACAGUGGACUUUUUUUCCUUCUUCAUUUAAUUCUAACAGACAUUUUCAAAAGGUUUUUAUGCAUUAUUUAUUUUUUUAAUACUUAUUGUGUAUUGUAAAAAAACUAAUUAAUUUGCUGUCAGUAUCCCCAAUUGAUUAUUUCCGUUUAUACGCAGUCGUGGCGAAUGCCAUGUACUAAUAUAAAAACACUGCAGCAGUUUCUAGCAAUGAUGUGAUGCUACAUGUAAGCUCUGUACCUUUACAACACUUAAGGUUACACAUUAGCAGGAAAUUAGGUUCAAGCUUUCUGUUCAGUCAUGUUAAACUUUGUGUUUGUUAGUUAUUAUAAUCUAAUAUAUUAAAUGUAGGGCUGCACAGUGGUGUAGUGGUUAGCACUUUCGCCUUGCAGCAAGAAGGUCCCUGGUUCGCGUCCCGGCUUUCCCGGGAUCUUUCUGCAUGGAGUUUGCAUGUUCUCCCUGUGCAUGCGUGGGUUCUCUCCGGGUACUCCGGCUUCCUCCCACAGUCCAAAAAUAUGCUGAGGUUAAUUGAUUACUCUAAAUUGCCCGUAGGUGUGAAUGUGAGAGUGCUUGUUUGUCUGUAUAUGUAGCCCUGUGACAGACUGGUGACCUGUCUAGGGUGUCCCCUGCCUUCGCCCGA